rnacentral:rRNA from 1 species
AACGACGCUGGCGGCAGCCUAACAAUGCAAGUCGAGCGCACUUAUGAUCUUCGGAUUAUAGGCGAGCGGCGGACGGGUUAGUAACGCGUGGGAACGUACCCUUUACUACGGAAUAGCCUUUGGAAACGAAAAGUAAUACCGUAUACGCCCUUCGGGGGAAAGAUUUAUCGGUAAAGGAUCGGCCCGCGUAAGAUUAGAUAGUUGGUGGGGUAAUGGCCUACCAAGUCUACGAUCUUUAGCUGGUUUUAGAGGAUGAUCAGCAACACUGGGACUGAGACACGGCCCAGACUCCUACGGGAGGCAGCAGUGGGGAAUCUUGGACAAUGGGCGCAAGCCUGAUCCAGCCAUGCCGCGUGAGUGAUGAAGGCCUAGGGUCGUAAAGCUCUUUCGCCAGGGAUGAUAAUGACAGUACCUGGUAAAGAAACCCCGGCUAACUCCGUGCCAGCAGCCGCGGUAAUACGGAGGGGGUUAGCGUUGUUCGGAAUUACUGGGCGUAAAGCGUACGUAGGCGGAUCAGAAAGUAUGGGGUGAAAUCCCAGGGCUCAACCCUGGAACUGCCUCAUAAACUCCUGGUCUAGAGUUCGAGAGAGGUGAGUGGAAUUCCGAGUGUAGAGGUGAAAUUCGUAGAUAUUCGGAGGAACACCAGUGGCGAAGGCGGCUCACUGGCUCGAUACUGACGCUGAGGUACGAAAGUGUGGGGAGCAAACAGGAGUUAGAUACCCUGGUAGUCCACACCGUAAACGAUGAAUGCCACGUCGUCGGGUAGCAUGCUAUUCGGUGACACACCCUAACGGAUUAAGCAUUCCGCCUGGGGAGUACGGUCGCAAGAUUCAAACUCAAAGGCAUUGAACGG